UCAGAGGAUCCUGGAAUCGUCUGUUUUAUCAACUAGUGCAUCCAAUCGAAUUCGCCAUAAGACUAUAGAGUUUUUGGGGAAUUUGCUCACUUUGUAAUUUACUCUAUAUUCUAGUAAGUGAGAUAUUUUCGAGACGAACGCAACAUAGAAGUUUAAAAGUCUAUGGUUGUACGUAAAAGUAAAUAUUACGAUUAACAAAAUGAUCAAUACACGUUUAUUUAUUGUGUCGGCUAGAAAUUUCUUAAAUAAUCAAUGGUUAACAAGGGGCAACUUUUUGAAUCUGAGAAGGGAAUAUAGUGUUUUUCCAACUCAUUAUAUUAAACCGAUAUUUAGGAAAGAUGACCAAGAUACGCUGUUUCAAAGCGAAGAGGCAAAGAAAGUCUCUCAUGAACAAAUAAAACCAGCAUUUAUGGAUGAAACAAGCUCUGAGUUUUAUGAUGCCAGAGUGAUAAAAUUUAUCAAUACUCUUAUGAAAAAUGGAGCUAGAGAUUUGACAACACAAUUGGUGACGAAAACAUUCGAAAAUGUCAAGAGGAUGCAAAUAGAGCAAUAUCACAAAGCAAAAACAGACGAGGAGAAAGCUAGUAUCGAGCUGAAUCCAUUUACAAUCUUUCAUCAAGCUGUCGACAAUUGUACGCCUGUUCUGUAUUUGAUACCAUGUAAAAAGGGUGGAAUUACUUAUCAGAUAAAAAUUAAAACAUUGUUAGGUUCCUGUGCCAAUUACACCUAUGAGAGCACAGCAUACAGCAAUGAAAUGGUUGAUUGAGGCUGCCAAAGAAAAAGACCGCAAAAUAAGAUUUCAUGUCACACUAGCCAAAGAACUAAUAGCAGCCUCUCGAAAUCAGGGUCGUGCAGUUGGACAGAAGAAAGAACUACAUAAAAAAUGCCAAGCCAAUCGGGCCUAUGCACAUUUUAGAUGGAUGUAGGCAAACAAAUAUAAGUUCUUAUAACAAAUGUUCAUAAAUAAAAUAAUUGCUUGUUAAACGCAAA